GACGAACUGUCCUAACGUUGUUCGGAAUCACUGGGCUUAAAGGGCGCGUAGGCGGUCCGACAAGUCAGGGGUGAAAUCCUGCGGCUUAACCGCAGGGCUGCCUUCUAAACUGUCAGGCUUGAGCACAGUAGAGGCAGGUGGAAUUCCCGGUGUAGCGGUGGAAUGCGUAGAGAUCGGGAAGAACAUCGGUGGCGAAGGCGGCCUGCUGGGCUGUUGCUGACGCUGAGGCGCGACAGCGUGGGGAGCAAACAGG
rnacentral:rRNA from 1 species